AGAGUUUGAUCCUGGCUCAGGAUGAACGCUAGCGACAGGCUUAACACAUGCAAGUCGAGGGGCAGCAUAAUUUGUAGCAAUACAGAUUGAUGGCGACCGGCGCACGGGUGAGUAACGCGUAUGCAACUUACCUAUCAGAGGGGGAUAGCCCGGCGAAAGUCGGAUUAAUACCCCAUAAAACAGGGGUCCCGCAUGGGAAUAUUUGUUAAAGAUUCAUCGCUGAUAGAUAGGCAUGCGUUCCAUUAGGCAGUUGGCGGGGUAACGGCCCACCAAACCGACGAUGGAUAGGGGUUCUGAGAGGAAGGUCCCCCACAUUGGUACUGAGACACGGACCAAACUCCUACGGGAGGCAGCAGUGAGGAAUAUUGGUCAAUGGCCGAGAGGCUGAACCAGCCAAGUCGCGUGAAGGAAGAAGGAUCUAUGGUUUGUAAACUUCUUUUAUAGGGGAAUAAAGUGGAGGACGUGUCCUUUUUUGUAUGUACCCUAUGAAUAAGCAUCGGCUAACUCCGUGCCAGCAGCCGCGGUAAUACGGAGGAUGCGAGCGUUAUCCGGAUUUAUUGGGUUUAAAGGGUGCGUAGGUGGUGAUUUAAGUCAGCGGUGAAAGUUUGUGGCUCAACCAUAAAAUUGCCGUUGAAACUGGGUUACUUGAGUGUGUUUGAGGUAGGCGGAAUGCGUGGUGUAGCGGUGAAAUGCAUAGAUAUCACGCAGAACUCCGAUUGCGAAGGCAGCUUACUAAACCAUAACUGACACUGAAGCACGAAAGCGUGGGGAUCAAACAGGAUUAGAUACCCUGGUAGUCCACACCGUAAACGAUGAUUACUAGGUGUUGGAGGAUUGACCCCUUCAGUGCCGCAGUUAACACAAUAAGUAAUCCACCUGGGGAGUACGACCGCAAGGUUGAAACUCAAAGGAAUUGACGGAAGGGCGAA
rnacentral:rRNA from 1 species